ensembl:lncRNA
CUGCCUUCCCUCUCAGCUGCUGGAAGUGUGCCCUGCUCUGGGAGUCAGCGUGAGCAGCGGGAGCUCAAAGGCACAUUUGACAUUUUAUUUGAAUUUUGUGCAGUUAUCGGAUGCUUUUUCUUUGUUUUGGGCUUGUUUGGGCUUUUCUCAAGCUUUAGCCUUUCUGGGCACAGGCUUCUUCCUAUUGAUUUGCUUUUGCAGGCAGAAACAGAUGUGGAUGACUUUGAAAACUGGCAAAGGGACAGUGAAUUGGACUCUGCAACAGGAAUGGGAUGCAGAACAGUGCAACAGAGUGUCCUGCAGCAAAACGAGACGGACCUUCAUGCAGUGUCAGCUCCAGCACUGGUGAGGACUGUUUGCAUUCAGAGAAGCAAUAUUCAACAUUUGUUGUUUCAAUACCUGAAGUUGUGACCACUGAAAACUUGGAGGAGCUGCUUCAUUGAGCACGGAGCUCGUGACGAGAGGCCUGAAAGCAGGAAUUCAGAGCUCCUACUAACAAAUGGAAAAGAAACUUUGGAGUGUGGACCUAAGUAAUAGAAUCAUCAAAUCAUUUAGUUUGGAAAAGACCACUGAGAUCAUCUAGUCCAACCAUCAACCCAUCCCCACCAUGGCCACUAACCAUGUCCCUCAGUGCUACAUCUACACAUUCCUUGAACACCUCCAGGAAGUGACUUCACCACCUCCCUGGGCAGCCUGUGCCAAUGCAUCACCACUCCUGAGAAGAAAAUUUUCAUAAUAUCCAACCUGAACCUCCCCUGGCACAAUAUCCCCUUUAGAUAUUGAAAGGCCACUCUCAAAUAUCCACAAAGAGAGGGGAAACUUUCUCCUCUCCAGGCUGAACAGCCCCAGCUCUCUCGGUCUGUCCUCAUAGGAGAGGUGUUCCAUCUCCAGGAUCACUGUUGUGGCCAUCCUCUGGAUGUGCUCCAACAGGUCUGUGUCUCUCUUGUACUGUGGACUGCACAUCUGGAUGCAGUACUCCAGGUGAAGUCUUACCAACACAGAGCAGAGAGGAAAAUUUCUAGUCUUCACAUAUUGUAAGUAUUAAUAAGGGAAUUUCCUAGUAUUAGCACAACAAAAGAGGAAAUAUUAAAAUAAUAGCUGAUUAUGUGUGUGUAUGGGUAAUGCAGUCAUGAAAAACCCUUCAAGUCUAACGUUUUGUUGUCUCUCUAAGUACAUGCUCUUGAUUUUUGCAGUCAUUCGCUUUAACUACAGUCACAAGAACCUAGAACAGAGAGAAUGAAGUUCUGGACAGCAAAUAAGGAAGUAUUUGUAGUGAGUGUUGGCAGAACUGACACCACACCAGGUCACAGCCAUGUAUUACAGUCCAGCAUCCCUGGGGCAAGACUCCAAUAGCAAACUGGAAAGAUGCAGAUAGUUCAGCUUCCUGAAGCUGGCCCCAGUCCCACCACUCCCUGAACCCUGUCCAGCCCAGCUUCUGCCUAUGCUGCUACCCCUGGGGCCCAUCCAUCAGCAGGUUGUGUCCUCAUCACCCACCUCCUGCCUCCAGCUGCCCUCCUGCUGCCCCUCCCUCGCCAUGAGUCACAUCCUUCCUUCCUCCGCCUCUGUUUUCCCUCUGGCCUCAGCCCCAAUCUAUUUGAGCCAAUAUCCUUUCCUCCACCAUCAAUGAGCUUCAGCCUUCUUGGCAUUCUUUUCCUCUCCUUCUCUUUCCUUUGCCUCUUGAGGGGCUCGCACUGCAAAGCAGUCCAUUCUGGCUGUGCGUCCCGGCCCCAGCCCUGAGCCACACAGUGGUCAGUGCCCUCCCUGUCAUCAGGGCAGCUGGAGUGGGACCAGAGGAAGGAGAAUGCUUGGCAACCAUGCUGAGAAAAUGGAAGUCCCCACCCAACAAGAACAAACCUCUCCUCUCUCCCGCUGGUGUUUAGAAAUGGGAAAAAUUUGGACAGAUGUUCACGGGGCAGAAAAAGUGCAGCUCAGAAGCAG